UUUUUCUUUCACUAGUAAACGUACACGUGCAAUGCACGUACUAACUAAUACUCCAUAUAUAUUUAGUCAAACAUAUUUCAAACAUCAAAAUUUAAAUUGUUGCAUGUGGUGAAACAACAUAGCUCCGUGUCAAAAUGCAAAAAAGAAAAACUAAUUUCAAACAUCAUACUCCAAUAAUGGGAACAAUCCAAAGUUGCCAAUUGAAUGGUGUUCAUCUCUUGAUCAAACAGUGUCACCUUCCAUAAGAUUUACAUUGCAAACCUGGUAGACAAAUAAAAGAAAUCAAUAUCACAAGGGAUCAAUCUUCAGAACAAUUAAAUCUUCAUAAAAAAACACUUAAAUCUUGUUCGGCUCUAUGGACCACUUUAGUGAAGCGGCAAAUUGUAGAUAAUACAACAACCGUAUCAUUUUUUCUGAUGGCAAAAGAGCAACCUAUUAUUAUCAUCAUCCAGAGUGUUUGCAAUGCCAGAUGGUUAAGGACGAACAACAUUACAACAUUGGCAAGCUGACCUCAGGGUGAUCCAUCUUUUUUCAUGCCCAUAUUGGUCAUUUUCACUACACAGGAAGUAUAUUGGAUUCAUUCCCGCAAAAAAAAGUCUAUUGGAUUUCUGAAGAGCAAACACAACAAUUACUUCAUCUUCACAGGGCCACUGGGUCCUCAAAUAAUACAACUUAUACCCUGGCAUCUUUUCUUUUAUACUCCCUCCAUCUUAAAAUGUAAGACAUUUUUUAACACUAUAAAACAUCUUACAUUUCGACACAGAGGGAGUAAGGGAGUAUCUCUUAUGCAGCUACGCUACCAGUUCAGUCUAACUAAAUCUGGUCAAUUACACAAUAUGUAAAAUAUGGCAAAAGGAGCACAUACCUUCAGAUAUUUGCGAGCCAGCUUCAGCCACUAAUCUCACCAAGACUGCUUAUCAUGUGCACCUGCAGCAUUUUUCUAUAUAACAAAAAGUUUUAGAAGACCAUGAGAUUAGGCAUUUCAACCAAUUCACUUAGAAACAUAGUGAGUUUGUAGCUAAUAUAGCUUGAUGGAUUUGUGCAGCCAGUAUCGAUGGCACGCCUUGUAUACUAUGCCUAAGAAAAUAACCACAAAACAUCUAAUUAUGCCUUUUUUAGAAAAGGAGGAUGACCCCCGGCCUGCAUCUGGGAGAUGCAUGCAACCACUUUAUUAACUAUUCACAGAGAACUUACAAAGUAAUACAUCAAUAUGUCUGAAGCCGUCAUCUUGGCAACAUCCGUCGCUACUCAUAUCCAUUGAUGAAGGGGUGCAGAAAGUAUGGGCCGAAUACCUAGACCUCUCACCUAAGCAAAUAUUCAUGUGAAAAUAGAAGUUUUGAAAACCGUAAAACCAUAGGACAGACAAACUGUACCAAGACUAAGCCAAUUAACUAUUUUUCAUCAUCAUCACUCCAAAAGCCUCGGUUCUUUCCACUUUCCUUAGUUCUUGUGAAUUUAUGAUCAAUGCAUAAUGAUCAUAAUUUGGUGCACAUGAUAAUGACAUUCUACCAUGAUAUAAUAAAAAUAAUACCCCAGCAUGAAACUAACCUUAUCGUGGUCAUGUCACUUGUCCACCAGUUGUAGCCUCAUUCUUUUCCUAUAGCUAAAAUCCUGGCCUCCAAGUCCACUACAUGCUUGCACCAUAGCACCAUCCACAAGCUAUCGUGCUCCUUCCAUUGCGAGGAAACAUGAGAAAAAUAUAAGGAAUGAACCAAGGGAAGUUUAGUUCAACAUCCUCUUUCUAACCUUUUCGAAAGAAAACAUCCUCUUCCUAAUGCAAUCAGUAGCCUCAAAAGAGGACCAGCCUAUAACAGGAAUAAUAACUAUGAAUGCAUAAAAACAAAUCCCCUUUGUCAAUAAACAGUUUGUCUGUUUAUCAUGGUAGUUCUGCAAACUGAAGUAAGCCCCUCUACAACAAAACUAAGCAUUAAUAGUUCAACUUGCAAACUGAAGUAAGCCCCUCUACAACAAAACUAAGCAUUAAUAGUUCAACUUGCAAACUGAAGAUGUUGACCCAUCAACCUAAUCCAUCACCAGGCUAGAAUAUUAAUUACCAAAAAUCAUGAACUAAAUAGAUUUGGUAACAUCAUAAUUUUCUUAACUCUAUCUGAACACUUAAUAUUGUAGGAAUAACUCAUGUGCUCUUUGUAUCGCUAGAUAUAUUCGAAGUAAAUAAAACCCAACCCAAAAGAAACAGAAGCUCUUGGCCCAUCAUUCUGACUUAUAAAGCAAGGCUGACAUAAACAACCAUGAUGUUUAGGCUAAGCAUUCAUAAAAAUGGUGUACAAUACUCAAGGUCUUGACAUUCAGCAUAAAUAACAGUGUCGAUUGAAGGUGUAGGGAUGACAAGUACGCAAGGAAGACAUCAUUUAGGUACAAUGAUGACAAGCAUGAGUAGUCACUAUAUGUGCUAAUCUAGACUGCAAAUUUACAACUAUUACAUGAGAAGAUAAUAACUGGUAAAAAAUGUUAGACCACAAAUGAAGGCUUCUGCCAUGUUCACAUGAACAAUCUGGCAACACCAAAUCCCAGCAAUUUCAUUAACUAUUCAAAGGUUGCAUUCAGAUAAGCAACUCAACCAAAUAAAAUUCCAUACCCAUUAAUUCAGCCUCUGGAAAAAAAUGUAAGAUCACGGAUAAAGUUCCAGAACAAUUUUAGCUAAGUAAUCAUCAUAAUUAUUUUGUGAGCCUAGCCUUAGCCUAACCUAGCUUGAGCUUCUGGUUUUGCAAUGCAGUAUAUAAAAAAUAACCAAGAUGAGAGAUCCCAGUAUCUAGAGCCAUUAUUUACUAAAGUGAAGGUAUGACUGAAUGAUUCAGUUUCAGAGGAAUUAUUUCUAGAGCCCCAAGAUAGUUAGCACAACGGGUUCUAUUCUAUGCCAGGGAACUAUGAAUGAUCCAGUAAUUUAUUGUAGUCUUGUUAGUCUCUUAGUAUUGUCUAAUCCUCGACAAAAAACAAAGUUCCCUUCAAAAUCCAUCCAAAACAGAAUUUACCAACACCCAGAUUUCUAUGGAUGCAAGUGCGGAAACCUUGCAGUCUUGUGCGUCGCGCAUUCUUGAAUAAUUGAAAUCGUCAACUGUAGAAAACAAGAGGAAUGUGGUAAGCAGACCUGCUUAUUAGUGAAGAUGUCCAUCAUCUAGCUUUGCUCUGCAAUCUAUAUGGUUUAGGGAUUCUGGAAUGGAACUGAAACAAAACGUAGUGAAAAUUUACUUGAUGGUAAACGGAUAACGACAUCGUGACUGUACAUAUUGUUCAUAGGAUCCAGGCAACAACCUGAUUUGGAGUAUAUCAUCAAGAAUUGUUCUUUCAGACCAAGGACAAACUAUGUAGGGGAAUGCUUGUGCAAAUUAUAAGUUGUCAAGCAGAUCAAGAUAGAAGGUGCAGUCAAGUGCAGUUGAGAUUCAAAGUCGUAUUCAGCAAUCUGACGGCAGAAGCAAAACAAAGCCGUUUCGUCGUACCUGAGGUUGCCUGCACAAUGAAAGAACUGUAAUGUAUUAUCAACUUCUGAACCUAGAUAAAAAAUUGUUCACGAAUCACUUGUUUAGAGUUUGGAUCCUUUCCAAUGUAGACAUUAAUAAUAAUGUUCUAUGAUCCUGUGCAUAUAGAAUAAUAUUUUUCUAUGAUCCUGUGCAUAUGGUUUAGUAGUCAGCAUGUUGGUUUCUAGUCACACUGAACAUAUAGAAACGCAUCACCGUGCUGAUUCCUUUGGAGUUGUUGCCUCUGCAGCUUUGUGUGCUCCCUUUCAAUGGUUCAACAUGGAUAGGAUUUAAACAAAUGUCAGUGUUAAAUCUAGCAAAAAACUGAAACAAAAUAAGAUCAUAUAUGGAUGACACGGAGAGCUGUGAGAGACUAAAAUAGAGAGGGCUAGCUAUAGCUAUAUAGAGAGGUCAAUUAGGGGAACUCAUCGAACAUUUAGUGGGCAUCGGCAUGCUGCCAUGGUGCUGGAGGGAAGAGGCUACGCAAUGCGUCUCACCGUAGAGGAGUUCCGUAUCCUCGGUUGUGCGAGGAACGACAGCGACGGCAUCUGCGUCACUGACCACGAGGAGGAACGACCGAUGGGGCAUAUGUGCCUGACGCGAGGUCGAGGAACAGAGGCCAAGAAUCGAAUGCCCCAUCAGAGAAAUCCAUCUUCGUGGUCGAGCCCGCUGUGUCUCAAGCCCACCGCGGCUUGAGGAGGAGAUGGACCUUGCCCCUGCUGCCGCCGACGCAGGCCGCGCUGCCGCCGCUGCUCGAUGGUGGAGAUGUACCCUGCCGCCGCCAACGCAGGCCGAGCCCGCUGGGUCCCGCGCUGUCGCCGCUGCUUGACGGAGGAGAGACCCCUUUGCUGCCGAUGCAGGUCAGGUCCACUGCGUCCCACUGCGCCGCCGCCGCUCGACGGAGGAGAUGGACAUCGGCACUACCGACGCAGGCGGGCUGGGUCCCGCGCCGUCGGUGUUUCUUGAGGGAUGAGAGCGACCCGGGCUGCGGAGGACGGGGCGCCGGCGGGGCAGCGACGCGGGAGGAGCAGGAGGCGGCGUGCGGCGCGGCGUGGGAGGAGCAGGAGGCGGCGUGCGGCGCGGCGCGAUGGGAGGAGGGGGGCGUGCGUGCGUGGGUUGUGGCGGUUUUUUUUCUUUCUGGAACGGCGGGCUUAGCGAUGCAUGGAUUAGUGGUGGCUUAAGACUAUCCACAGUGGAAGUAAUAUACUCCCUCCGUUCCUAAAUAUUUGUCUUUUUGGACAUUUUAAAUGACUACUACAUACGAAUGUAUGUAGACAUAUUUUAGAGUAUAGAUUCACUCAUUUUGCUCCGUAUGUAGUCACUUGUUGAAAUGUCUAGAAAGACAAGUAUUUAGGAACGGAGGGAGUAGAUGAUAACAUCACAUUUAUCUAGGCAAAAUAGAUGAUGUGACUUGUAAUUAAUGAAGAAAAAGAGGAAUGUGAUAACAUAGCUAGUUACUGUAACAUCACACAUAUCAAGGAAAGAUGAGUCUAUAACCUAAUAAAUAAAGUGAUGCAUGACACAACAUAUAUGUUACUACCCACUGUGGAGGUAGUAACAUAAAGUAGUAAUAUAUGCAUGUUACUACUCUAAGUUACUACCCACUGUGACUACAGGGACGGAGCCAGGGGGACGAGCAGGGGCCUAGCUCCCCCAACGAUCAACAAUUUUAGUAGAAGCAACUAGUAAUUAUCAACAAGAUUCGAUCAAUAUACGUACUCGGCCCCCCUAUACUCGAAUCCUGGCUCCGCCACUGUGUGACUAGUCUAGUGCGUGGCUUGUAGUGUUAAACAUGGAAGGAUUAUGGACCAUUAGAUUUGAUAGAUGAAUGGAUUAGAUUGUUUGGAUCUGCCCCUCUUUUCCUUUUAUAAUGGUAGUAGAUACAGUUCAAACGCAGAUGCUCAUGCAGUCUAUCAUAGGCAUCUUUGUUUCCCAUGAAAGCGUCUCUUUUUACUAAAGACAUAACGCUAAAAAAAUUGAAAUAAAUUAAAAAGUAUGCGAGCAUCAGUGCCAAGUUUAGGACUUAAAAUCUGAUGGACUGGUUUCAUCACAUAAAUCCUAACCAUAUGCUUUACGCUCAGAUUGAUGUCACUAUUAACUCAGAUAGUUUUAACAACCAUUUCCUCCAUUCCAUAAUCUAAAAAACAUUUUUCAAGGUGGGGUGUUGAUGAUUUCAUCGUCCGUUGCAACGGGAUUUUAAGACCAAUUGUGGAUAAAUUUUGUACGAAUGAAAUGAUCUAAAUCAAAAGGUAUUAUUUUCAUAAAUAAUUGUGUGUGAACAAAGAGUAUGUAUGUACGUUUAAUCAUUGGAGAUGGGACAAUUAAAUUGGAUUAUGAAUGUGCUACAAAAUAGUUUUAGUGGAUGAUAACGUGGCACAUUCAAUAAUGUGAAAGAUUGCAUGUUAAGAGAAUUAGAGUUACUGGGGAUCAACUAUUUAAGUAUUCUAUAUUAUAGAUUAGUAAACCUGCUUGUGCAAUGAACAUCUCUACCAACACAAAUUAAUCAAAGAUUUAGACGAUGUUCAACCGCAAUAAUCUUAAUGAAAUAAAUAUUAACUUUUCAAAAACUUGAUGUAAAAAUGCAUAACUCAUGAUUGCUCCCUUAUAUAAAUACUUUCAAUUAUUGCGUCUCAUAAACCAACCUGCCUCACUUACCCAAACGCCACAAUGUUUAGUAUACAAGAUGGCUCGUUGCGUCUGUGGCGCAAAUGUCAGCUGCAACAAAGAAGUUAAGCAAACUAUAUGAAACAAUCUUUAAGGAGUGCAACUUGAAUGUUAAGCGGAUUAUUACAAAGAAGUUCUCGACGAAUUAUCUGAAAGUACAAUGUUAACCUAUGACAUGACAAGCUAUGACAUGAUGAUAGUUUAAUCCAGUUGAAUUGGUUUUGCUUGCAUUGAAAAUAACAUAGUCAAAUGCAAUCCAGAAACAAAGCAUGAUAUAUGGAAUAUGUUUCAUUCAUUUAUGGAACGACAAUUUGCAAUAGCAGACAUGAUGACUCUAUUUAUACGCAUUUGUAGAGCUCAUUUGUUGCAUAUUAUCUUCUUAUAUCAUGUCCCACUGAACCAAGUUCCGAUUUUCACUAUUUUUAUUGUGAGCUUUGCAUAGUUUGUGUUAUCAUUAUUUUUUUUAGUUUUCUUUGUUUUAUUUGUGUCUACGGGUGUUUUCGAGCAACAAAGGACCAAACACGAUGAAAAGGCCAAGGUUGGAAUCAACAUGAAGGCCUUAUAGGCACCAAACUUCAUUUGAAUUCUCAAAACUGACAUUUUUUCAAAGUGCUCAAAAUCAAAAUCCAACAUCACAGGUGCAUCGGCGUCGUUCAUACAAAUCCAACAAGCCCAAGAAUGUAGCAAUCCAAGUUUGUAUGAGAAAAUGACGGAUGUUAUACUAAAGGGGCCCACAACGUUUGACAAACCUACCAGCGGUCGUACCGGACCCUAACAGCUACGUAAAUUAGGCAUAACUUCCUUGAUUUCGUCCUGCUUUUUUCCUACGCGAUCCUUGUCGAACAAGGGAUGUUUUAGCAGAGGAUCCCCCCCAUAACCCUUGGGUGAAGGAAGAGAAGUCACAUCUACGGAGGAGAACCGAAGGAGCCCCUUAUAUACACACCUCCAACCCGAGCCACCGUGAAUCAUCAUCCACAACUUGUCACCUCUAGGCAGCCACCGGGAGGCUCUCCCCAUGUGAGAUGCCUCUCCCUCCAUAGCUCCAGCUCCACCACUGUGAAACCCACGCAAGAGGAGGGGAAGGAGGUGCCAUCGCCACCAUCAUCAUCGAGCGUGGCCCUAGGUCGUGAGUGCCAACACCCAUAUCCAUAUCCAUCCUCGCAUAGAAUCAAAUCAACUAUCAACCAAAUCACCCCAAAGGCUUUACUUGGCACAAACACUAAUUUAAACAAAAAAACACAAUCAUAACAGUAGCAUAAUUGUGUGAACACUCAAAAAAUAUAAACGAUAACUUUUGGGUUGUCUCCCAACAAGCUCUUCCUUUAUAGCCAUUAAGAUAGGCUUUGAGAUUUAAAUGAUGCUCACAUGAAAUACAAGAAUUGAAGCACAAAAAGAGCAUCAUAAUACAUGCGACAAACACAUUUAAGUCUAACAUACUUCCUAUGCAUAGGCAUUUUAUAGGAGGACAAAUUAUCAAGACAAGCAAUAGCUACCAUAUGCAAGGAAGAAGAAAGAAACAACAACAUUCUCAACAUGAAGAGAGGUAAUUUAGUAACAUGAAGAUUUCUACAGCCAUAUUUUCCUCUCUCUUAAUAAUUACAUGUAGGAUCAUAAUCAAAUUCAACAAUAUAAAUAUCAUAUAAUUUUUCCUCUUCGUGAUCCACGUGCAUAUAAGUUCCAAGAUAGUGGGAUUAACAUCAACUAAAGUCAUGACCUCUUCAAACCCACUUUUACCAAAAAGUUCACAAUAUUGGUAAUUCUCCAAAGUAGUGGGACCAUUAUUACCUAAAGUUGAUGCUCUUCCAAUCCCACUUUUAAUAGUAUUGCAAAAAUUAUCAUUGAUGACAUAUUCAUUACAAAGCUUAAACAAAUUUUCAAGAUCAUAAGAAGCAUCAUAACUAUCACCCUAAUCAUGAUCAUUGCAAUAAGUAGUGGACAUAAUAAAACUAUCAUCCCCAAGCAUAUAGCUUUGCAUAUCAUUAGCACAAUUGAUAUUAAUAGAAUUUAUAAUAACAUCAUUGCAAUCAUGCUUUUCAUUCAAGGAGCUAUCAAGUGUGGGUGCAAUAGCAAUACUUUUAUUUUUAACAUAAGGAACUAUAGCAAGUUCAUCUCCAUAAGCAUCAUCAAUAUUGGCAUCAUGGCCAUAAGAAUAGCAAGGAUCUCGUUCAUCAGGAGGAGAUAUUUCAAUCGAAUCAAUGGAAUCAUAAUUAUCUAUAGAUUCAUGCAUAUCAUUAUUUUCUUCCAAAGGAGCGGUCAUUCUCUCAAUAAAUUCUUUAACAUAGGCAUUAGAAGCAUAGUUCAUCGUGAAUGGGCAUGUAGCCUAGUGAUGGAAGCAGCCUUAGUAGCACUCCAGGUCCUGGGUUCGACUCUCGGUCGGAGCAGAUUUAAAUAGGCUCGUGCAAAAAUUUAUGGAAAAAGGUUGUGGGGUUGUUGCUCUAUAGUAAAUAGUCAAAAAAUCAUGCUUUUCAUUCAAGGAGCUAUCAUGAAUCACUUUAUAGAUUUCUUCUUUCAGCACUUCAUCACAAUUUUCAGGUUCAUGAUUUUCAAGUAAAACUUCAUAGAGAUAUUCAAGUGCACUCAACUCACUAGCAUUUGGUUGAACAUAAUUAGAUCUUUUGAAAAGAUUAGCAAGUGGAUGAGGAUCCGUAUGUCUUUACUUUUCCUUUCUGUUUUUGAGUGUUCAGAUGAAGGCAAUUAAAGCAAGCAAGAUAACAAGCAAAAAAAUCUUUGUGUUUUUGUAAAAAAAAUUAGAAGUGGGGGAGAUGAAAACGUGAGGCAAAUGGCAAAUGAAAGUAAGAGCAAGUAGAUGAUAGUUUAUGAGAAGGUACUUGACAGGUUUUGGUGAUGUCUCCCCGGCAACGACGCCAUAAAUUCUUCCUACUACUUGUCAGUUGCGUUGGGAUUUUCCCGAAGAGGAGAGGAUGAUGUAGUACAGUAGAUAUAAGUAUUUCCCUCAGUUAAGAACCAAGGUUAUCAAUCCAUUAGGAGAACCACGCGAAACCUCAUUAACAACACCUACACACACAAAAGCAAAUACUUGCACCCAAUGCGAUCAAGGGGGUUGUCAAUCCCCUCAGCGGUUAUUUGCAAGGAUCAAAUCUCAUAGUGAUAUAUAGAUAAAAUAAAACACAAAAUAAAAUAACGGUAAUAAAAUUGCAGCAUGGUAUUUUUGGAAUUUAUAUAUGAUAAAAGUAGACCCGGGGGCCAUAGUUUUCACUAGAGGCUUCUCUCUCGAAGAAAAAGCAUAUUGUGGGUAAACAAAUUACUAUUGGGCAAUUGAUAGAAAAGCACAUAGUUAUGACGAUAUUCAACACAAUGAUCAUGUAUAUAGGCAUCACGUCUGAGACAAGUAGACCGGCUCCUGCUUGCAUCUACUACUAUUACUCCACCCAUCGACCACUAUUCAGCAUGCAUCUAGAGUACUAAGUUAAUAAAAACGGAGUAACGCCUUACGCAAGAUGACAUGAUGUAGACAAAGUAAAUCCAACCAAUAUGAAUAAACCCCGUCGUUUUCCCCUAAAUGGAAACAAUACAAAUACAUGUCUUGUCCCCUACUUUGUCACUGGGAUAUAGAGCACCGCAAGAUUGAACCCAUUACAAAGCACCUCUCCCAUUGCAAGAUAAAUCAAUCUAGUUGGCCAAAUCAAGCGAAUAGAUUAGCGAGAAAUACAAAGCUAUAAUAAUCAUGCAUAAAAGAUUAAUAUUCAUGAAUAAUCUGGUCAUAAACCCAUAUUUAAUUGGAUCCCAAAAAGCACACCGCAAAAGAAGAUUACAUCAAAUAAACUCCAAGAACAUCGAGGAGAACAUUGUAUUGAAGGUCAAAGAGAGAGAAGAAGCCAUCUAGCUACUAGCUAUGGACCCGUAGGUCUAUGGUGAACUACUCACACAUCAUCGGAAGGGUAGCAAGGUUGAUGUAGAAGCCCUCCAUGAUUGAUUCCCCUUCCAGCGGAGUGCCGAAAAAGGCCUCCGGUUGGGAUCGCGGAAGAACAGAAACUUGCAACCAGCGUUGUGUUGCAAUCUGCGUGCAACAACCGCUCCAAGAUUAUAACAUUUAAUUCCAGUCAGAGCAGUGUGUAUUGCUACCUCUUGAGCACUAUGUUGGUUUUCCCUUGAAGAGGAAAGGGUGAUGUAGUAAAGCAGCGUAAGUAUUUCCCUCAUUUUUUGAGAACUAAGGUAUCAAUCCAGUAGGAGAUCACGCUCAAGUCCCACGCACCUACACAAACAAAUAAGAACCUCGCAACGAAUGCGAUAAAGGGGUUGUCAAGCCCUUCUUGGUCACUUACAAGAGUGAGAUCUGAUAGAUAUGAUAAGAUAAUAUUUUUGGUAUUUUUAUGAUAAAGAGAAGUAAAGAUGCAAAGUAAAAUAAACGGCAAAGGAAAUAACAAAGUAUUGGAAGAUUAAUAUGAUGGAAGAUAGACCUGGGGGCCAUAGGUUUCACUAGUGGCUUCUCUCAAGAGCAUAAGUAUUAUGGUGGGUAAACGAAUUACUGUCGAGCAAUUGAUAGAAUUGAGCAUAGUUAUGAGAAUAUCUAGGUAUGAUCAUGUAUAUAGGCAUCACGUUCGAGACAAGUAGACCGAAACGAUUCUGCAUCUACUACUAUUAGUCCACACAUCGACCGCUAUCCAGCAUGCAUCUAGAGUAUUAAGUUCAAGAGAACAGAGUAAUGCUUUAAGGAAGAUGACAUGAUGUAGAGGGAUAAACUCAUGCAAUAUGAUAUAAACCCCAUCUUUUUAUCCUCGAUGGCAACAAUACAAUAUGUAUCGGUUCCCUUUCUGUCACUGGGAUCGAACACCGCAAGAUUGAACCCAAAGCUAAGCACUUCUCCCAUUGCAAGAAAGAUCAAUCUAGUAGGUCGAACCAAACUGAUAAUUCGAAGAGACUUGCAAAGAUAAACCAAUCAUACAUAAAAGAAUUCAGAGGAGAAUCAAAUAUUGCUCAUAGAUAAUCUGGAUCAUAAACCCACAAUUCAUCGGAUCUCGACAAACACACCGCAAAAGAAGAUUACAUCGAAUAGAUCUCCAAGAAAAUCGAGGAGAACUUUGUAUUGAGAUCCAAAGAGAGAGAAGAAGCCAUCUAGCUAAUAACUAUGGACCCGUAGGUCUGAAGUAAACUACUCACACAUCACCGGAGAGGCCAUGGAGUUGAUGUAGAGGCCCUCCGUGAUCAAUGCCCCCUCCGGUGGAGCUCCGGAAAAGGCCCCGAGAUGGGAUCUCUCGAGUACAGAAGGUUGCGGCGGUGGAUUAGGUUUUCGUGGUGCUCCUGGAUGUUUGGGGUACAUGGAUAUAUAUAUAGGAGGAAGAAGUACGUCGGUGGAGCAACGGAGGGCCCACGAGGGUGGAGGGCGCGCCCCCUGCCUCGUGCCUUCCUCCCUUGUUUCUUGACGACCACUCCAAGUCUCCUAGAUCACGUUUGUUGAGAAAAUCACGUUCUCGAAGGUUUCAUUCCGUUUGGACUCCGUUUGAUAUUCCUUUUCUUCGAAACCCUAAAAUAGGCAAAAACAGCAAUUUGGGCUGGGCCUCCGGUUAGUAGGUUAGUCCCAAAAAUGAUAUAGAAGUGUAAAAUAAACCCAUUAACAUCCAAAAUAGAUAAUAUAAUAGCAUGGAGCAAUCAAAAAUUAUAGAUACGUUGGAGACGUAUCAUGUAUGAGGCUCAGUCAGGGGCACACAGUGUGCUGCAAUCCUGCUUGCCUAUGAUGCAUUUACCAUUAAAGAGCGCAAAGUAUUGAAUAGAUGGGAAAUGAAUGCUCUUUAUUCUACCUUGUGUCACUCCUCUAGUCUCACCAUAGCAAAGGCUAGUCAAGAAUGUCUCAUACUCAAAUCUUGGUGGUUCGUCCAGCGAACCCCAAAAUGGAAUUUUUACAAAUGCCACUAAAUGCGUUUAGAAGCAUGGUAAAAGGGCGGUCAUAAAGCUUAAACAAAACUCUAGACUCACGAGGAUGAAAUUUAAAUUCUUUAGUAAACGAUUCUGUGAGGCUGAGAUGUUGGUUGCACUUAUCUUCUAUGUAGGGACCGAGCUCGGCGUUGUGAACAUAUUGCUCAAAAUCUUCCUUAAUACCUACACUCACCAUAAAAUCAUUGCAUGGCCAUAGGCAGGAUUUGAUAGUUGCUUCCCGUAUCGAACUUGCGCUUGGUUCAACAUAAGACCGAUGCACCGAGCCACCACUAGAUGAUGCCUCCUAAGACCUCCACCUAGAAGAACUCCUAAAGAAACUCAUCUUAUUCCUAUAAAUAAAAUUCUGAAAAUUUUAGUCCACAAUUUUUUUGCCAACGGAACUUCACAAGAUUGAUAGAAACUACUCAUAGAGAUGCAUAGAGGCCAUAUCAAGCAUUCAAACUACUUAGAACUCUAAGAAUUCAACAUGUAAGCUCAUCUACAACAUCACCAAGAGUAUGUAAUUAUUCAAAAUAUAAUCCACUAAAGCAAAAACUAAUUGAAGCAAUGGAGGAGUCACAUACCAAGUACCAAUCCCCCCAAACAAUUUUGGAAACGGAGCUUCGAGCAAAGAGAUCGAAAUCCGCGGGUUUGAGAGCAAGAACACACACAGAGAGAGAGAGAGCAAUGGUGAUUUUUUUCUGGAGGUAGGAGAUGACAUGGGCUAAAGAGGUAAGCGAGGGGACCACAUGGGGACCACAACCCACCAGGGCGCGCCUAGGGCUGCUGGCGCGCCCAGGUGGGUUGUGCCCACCUGGUGCACCCCCUCUGAUGUUAUUUGUACUAAAAGUUUAGAAAUAUUCAGAAAAAAUUGUAUUCAAUUUUCAUGGCAUUCCGAGCACUUUUAUUUUUGGGUCAUUUUUUAUUGCAUGGAAAAUCCAGAAAACAGGAUAACAUGGCAUUUUGUUUUAUUUAACUAAGAAAAACAGAAAACAAAAGGAAAGAAAAGAAGGUAGUGCCUACUAAAUUCAUCAACUUCAUACCUCUAAAAAAUGAUCCAUUAAUAAGGUUGAUCAAGUCUUAUUAACAACCACAUUCGAUUAGCAUGAAACCGAAGAACUUUUACAAAAACACUAA
rnacentral:lncRNA from 1 species